rnacentral:rRNA from 1 species
CCUACGGGGGACUGCAGUGAGGAAUAUUGGUCAAUGGCCGGAAGGCUGAACCAGCCAAGCCGCGUGAAGGACGAAGGUGCCAAGCAUUGUAAACUUCUUUUGUCAAGGGACAAAAUCAGGCUCGAGAGCCUGACCGAGGGUACUUGAAGAAAAGCAUCGGCUAACCCCGUGCCAGGCGCCGGGGUAAUACGGGGGGUGCGAGCGUUAUCCGGAUUUAAUGGGUUUAAAGGGGGCGUAGGGGGACUGUUAAGUUAGCGGUAAAAGCCCGGGGCUAAACCCCGGCGAGCCGUUGAAACGGGCUGUCUUGAGAAGUCGAGAGGUAUGCGGAAUGCGCAGUGUAGCGGUGAAAUGCUUAGAUAUUGCGCAGAACUCCGAUUGCGAAGGCAGCAUACCGGCGGCGAUCUGACGCUGAGGCACGAAAGCGUGGGUAUCGAACAGGAUUAGAUACCCUAGUAGUC